rnacentral:rRNA from 1 species
AACGUAGGAGACAACCGUUAUCCGGAUUUACUGGGCGUAAAGGGCGUGUAGGCGGUUUGUUAAGUCUGGCGUGAAAGCUCUCGGCUAAACCGGGAGAGGUCGUUGGAUACUGGCAAACUUGAGGACGGUAGAGGCGUGUGGAAUUCCGGGUGUAGUGGUGAAAUGCGUAGAGAUCCGGAGGAACACCAGUGGCGAAGGCGACACGCUGGGCCGUACCUGACGCUAAAGCGCGACAGCAUGGGGAGCAAACGGG